rnacentral:rRNA from 1 species
UACGUAGGGUGCAAGCGUUGUCCGGAAUUAUUGGGCGUAAAGAGCUCGUAGGCGGUUUGUCGCGUCUGCCGUGAAAGUCCGGGGCUCAACUCCGGAUCUGCGGUGGGUACGGGCAGACUAGAGUGAUGUAGGGGAGACUGGAAUUCCUGGUGUAGCGGUGAAAUGCGCAGAUAUCAGGAGGAACACCGGUGGCGAAGGCGGAUCUCUGGGCCAUUACUGACGCUGAGGAGCGAAAGCGUGGGGAGCGAACAGG